rnacentral:tRNA from 2 species
GCGCCUAUAGCUCAGGGGAUAGAGCGUUGGUCUCCGGAACCAAGUGCAUAGGUUCGAAUCCUAUUAGGCGCG